UUACAGUCAAUUAAGCCAAUCAUGUUCCUUUCCUUGUAAGGGCCAGGUGUGCCAUGGCUGCGAACAGCAGCCUUCUCGGUAGUAUGUGCACCGUGUUGCUUGUAUGUUGUAAGCAUUGCCCUAAGGACCUUGGAGACAGCC
rfam:Homo sapiens chromosome 4, GRCh38 reference primary assembly.